rnacentral:misc_RNA from 1 species
GGCCCUUCUGGUGAGUUGAGAUAUCCUUCAUGCUCUUUACAGAAUCGGACUUUGCGUUCACGUGAACUUGGCGAAUUCCAAUGCCAUGACAAGUAUAUGCUUGCAUCUUUAAAUGCUUGUGCUGGGGAGAUAGGAAUGCAUGAGUGGGCCAAUGGCGGACCUAUUGGUGCGGGCAGUUUAUCGCGAAGUCAUGAAGGCUCAGAGUUUUUCAAAAGUGAUGGUUCUUGGAACUCACCAUAUGGAGAGUUCU